GAGACGCUGGCGGCGUGGAUUAGGCAUGCAAGUCGGACGGUAGGGCUUUAUCGUAAGAUAGAGUUUGAGAGUGGCGAACGGGUUGAGUAACACGUAGGAAUCUACCCUUAAGACGGGGACAACCCAGGGGAAAACUUGGGCUAAUACCGGAUGAGAGUGCGAGAGAUUGCAUUUAAAAGGAUGGCGAAAGUUGUCGCUUAGGGAUGAGCCUGCGGUCUAUUAGUUAGUUGGUGAGGUAAGAGCUCACCAAGGCGAUGAUAGAUAGGCGGCCUUAACGGGUGGUCGCCCACACUGGGAUUGAGAUACGGCCCAGACUCCUACGGGAGGCAGCAGUCGAGAAUAGUCUACAAUGGCCGGAAGGCUGAUAGUGCGACGCCGCGUGAACGAGGGAGCCCUUCGGGGUGUAAAGUUCUUUUCUAUACGAGCAGUGCUAUAUAUAUGGAUAGUAUAUAUAGAGGGAUAGUAGUAUAGGAAUAAGCAACGGCUAACUCCGUG
rnacentral:rRNA from 1 species